AUGGCCGUCGUCAGUUCGUACUGUGAAGCAUCCUGUUAAGUCAGGCAACGAGCGAGACCCACGCCAACAGUUGCCAGCUCGUCCUCCGGGGAUGGUGGGGACACUGUUGGGACCGCCUCUGCUAAAGAGGAGGAAGGAAUGGGCAACGGUAGGUCAGCAUGCCCCGAAUUAUCUGGGCUACACGCGGGCUACAAUGGGUGGGACAAUGGGUAUCGACACCGAAAGGUGAAGGCAAUCUCCUAAACCCAUCCGUAGUUCGGAUUGUGGGCUGCAACUCGCCCACAUGGAGCUGGAAUCUGUAGUAAUCGUGUCUCAAAAUGGCACGGUGAAUAUGUCCCUGCUCCUU
rnacentral:rRNA from 1 species